rnacentral:rRNA from 1 species
GACGAACGCUGGCGGCGUGCUUAACACAUGCAAGUCGAACGGAAAGGCCCUGCUUUUGUGGGGUGCUCGAGUGGCGAACGGGUGAGUAACACGUGAGUAACCUGCCCUUGACUUUGGGAUAACUUCAGUAAACUGGGGCUAAUACCGGAUAGGAGCUCCUUCUGCAUGGUGGGUGUUGGAAAGUUUCGGCGGUUGGGGAUGGACUCGCGGUUUAUCAGCUUGUUGGUGGGGUAGUGGCUUACCAAGGCUUUGACGGGUAGCCGGACUGAGAGGGUGACCGGCCACAUUGGGACUGAGAUACGGCCCAGACUCCUACGGGAGGCAGCAGUGGGGAAUAUUGCAAAAUGGGCGGAAGCCUGAUGCAGCAACGCCGCGUGCGGGAUGACGGCCUUCGGGUUGUAAACCGCUUUCGCCUGUGACGAAGCGUGAGUGACGGUAAUGGGUAAAGAAGCACCGGCUAACUACGUG